rnacentral:rRNA from 1 species
GAUGAACGCUGGCGGCGUGCCUAAUACAUGCAAGUCGAGCGAACGGACGAGAAGCUUGCUGCUCCGAUGUUAGCGGCGGACGGGGGAGUAACACGUGGAUAACCUACCUAUAAGACUGGGAUAACUUCGGGAAACCGGAGCUAAUACCGGAUAAUAUUUUGAACCGCAUGGUUCAAAAGUGAAAGACGGGCUUGCUGUCACUUAUAGAUGGAUCCGCGCUGCAUUAGCUAGUUGGUAAGGUAACGGCUUACCAAGGCAACGAUGCAUAGCCGACCUGAGAGGGUGAUCGGCCACACUGGAACUGAGACACGGUCCAGACUCCUACGGGAGGCAGCAGUAGGGAAUCUUCCGCAAUGGGCGAAAGCCUGACGGAGCAACGCCGCGUGAGUGAUGAAGGUCUUCGGAUCGUAAAACUCUGUUAUUAGGGAAGAACAUAUGUGUAAGUAACUGUGCACAUCUUGACGGUACCUAAUCAGAAAGCCACGGCUAACUACGUG